rnacentral:rRNA from 2 species
CCUUUUGGAAGAAGUCGUCGAAGGUGGAAUCAAUAACUGGGGUGAAGUCGUAACAAGGUAGCCGUAUCGGAAGGUGCGGCUGGAUCACCUCCUUUCUAAGGAGA